GGUGAAAUCUCGAUGCUUAACAUCGAAACUGCCGUUGAAACUGUCAGACUUGAGUGUAAAUGAAGCAGGCGGAAUUCGUAGUGUAGCGGUGAAAUGCAUAGAUAUUACGAAGAACACCGAUAGCGCAGGCAGCUUGCUAAGCUACAACUGACACUGAAGCACGAAAGUGUGGGUAUCAAACAGGAUUAGAUACCCUGGUAGUCCACACAGUAAACGAUGAUUACUCGCUGUUUGCGAUAUACGGUAAGCGGCCAAGCGAAAGCGUUAAGUAAUCCACCUGGGGAGUACGCCGGCAACGGUGAAACUCAAAGGAAUUGACGGGGGCCCGCACAAGCGGAGGAACAUGUGGUUUAAUUCGAUGAUACGCGAGGAACCUUACCCGGGCUCGAACGGUGUUUGAAUGUAUGUGAAAGCAUGCAGCUAGCAAUAGCAAAUAUCGAGGUGCUGCAUGGUUGUCGUCAGCUCGUGCCGUGAGGUGUCGGCUUAAGUGCCAUAACGAGCGCAACCCUUAUCUUUAGUUACCAUCAGGUGAAGCUGGGGACUCUAGAGAGACUGCCGCCGUAAGGUGAGAGGAAGGUGGGGAUGACGUCAAAUCAGCACGGCCCUUACGUCCGGGGCGACACACGUGUUACAAUGGGGGGGACAAAGGGCAGCUACCUGGCGACAGGAUGCUAAUCUCCAAACCCUCUCCCAGUUCGGAUCGAAGUCUGCAACUCGACUUCGUGAAGCUGGAUUCGCUAGUAAUCGCGCAUCACCAUGGCGCGGU
rnacentral:rRNA from 1 species